rnacentral:rRNA from 1 species
AUUGAACGCUGGCGGCAUGCCUUACACAUGCAAGUCGAACGGUAACAGGUCUUCGGAUGCUGACGAGUGGCGAACGGGUGAGUAAUACAUAGGAACGUGCCUAGUAGUGGGGGAUAACUACUCGAAAGAGUGGCUAAUACCGCAUGAGAUCUACGGAUGAAAGCAGGGGAUCGCAAGACCUUGUGCUACUAGAGCGGCCGAUGGCAGAUUAGGUAGUUGGUGGGAUAAAAGCUUACCAAGCCGACGAUCUGUAGCUGGUCUGAGAGGACGAUCAGCCACACUGGGACUGGGACACGGCCCAGACUCCUACGGGAGGAAGCGGUGGGGAAUUUUGGACAAUGGGCGAAAGCCUGAUCCAGCAAUGCCGCGUGAAGGAUGAAGGCCUUCGGGUUGUAAACUGCUUUUGUACGGAACGAAAAGCCCCGGGUUAAUACCCUGGGGUCAUGACGGUACCGUAAGAAUAAGCACCGGCUAACUACGUGCCAGCAGCCGCCGUAA